UACGUAGGGGGCUAGCGUUGCUCGGAAUUACUGGGCGUAAAGCGCACGUAGGCGGACUCUUAAGUCGGUGGUGAAAUCCUGGAGCUCAACUCCAGAACUGCCUUCGAUACUGAGAGUCUCGAGUCCGAGAGAGGUGAGUGGAACUGCGAGUGUAGAGGUGAAAUUCGUAGAUAUUCGCAAGAACACCAGUGGCGAAGGCGGCUCACUGGCUCGGUACUGACGCUGGGGUGCGAAAGCGUGGGGAGCAAACAGG
rnacentral:rRNA from 1 species